rnacentral:hammerhead_ribozyme from 1 species
CGAUUCUGAGGAGUCCAAUAAUAGGAUGAAACGGCCGUCAAGUGU